rnacentral:rRNA from 1 species
CUACGUGCCAGCAGCCGCGGUAAUACGGAGGGUGCGAGCGUUAAUCGGAAUAACUGGGCGUAAAGGGCACGCAGGCGGUGACUUAAGUGAGAUGUGAAAGCCCCGGGCUUAACCUGGGAAUUGCAUUUCAUACUGGGUCGCUAGAGUACUUUAGGGAGGGGUAGAAUUCCACGUGUAGCGGUGAAAUGCGUAGAGAUGUGGAGGAAUACCGAAGGCGAAGGCAGCCCCUUGGGAAUGUACUGACGCUCAUGUGCGAAAGCGUGGGGAGCAAACAGGAUUAGAUACCCUGGUAGUCCACGCUGUAAACGAUGUCGAUUUGGGGGUUGAGCUUUGAGCUUGGCGCCCGUAGCUAACGUGAUAAAUCGACCGCCUGGGGAGUACGGCCGCAAGGUUAAAACUCAAAUGAAUUGACGGGGGCCCGCACAAGCGGUGGAGCAUGUGGUUUAAUUCGAUGCAACGCGAAGAACCUUACCUACUCUUGACAU